AAUUUUUCAGUACAAUAUGUCUCAUGCAACAUUUGGGACAUACUUAUACUAAAAUAUU
rnacentral:pre_miRNA from 1 species